rfam:Streptomyces xiamenensis strain 318, complete genome.
GUCCGGGUGGCGGAAUGGCAGACGCGCUAGCUUGAGGUGCUAGUGCCCUCUUAUGGGCGUGGGGGUUCAAGUCCCCCCUCGGACA